rnacentral:tRNA from 2 species
GCAGUUGUGGCCGAGUGGUUAAGGCGAUGGUCUAGAAAUUCAUUGGGAACUCCCCGCAGAGGUUCAAGUCCUGUCUACUGCG